GGAUGUGAGGGCGAUCUGGCUGUGGCAUCUGUCACCCCAUUGAUCGCCAGGGUUGAUUUCGCUGAUCCGGCUGGCUAGGCAGGUGUCCCCUUCCUUCCUCAAAGCUCCAUGUGCAUCUCUCCUGAAGCUUCAUGCUCGGUCGAAAGGACGACGACCACCACCACCACCCCCCAUAGAGGAGGACCGUUCCUCGGUCAGCGGUAUACAAGCAGCUGCGCUCCCCUGCUAGAACCUCCAAACAAGCUCUCAAGAAGUAAAAUGAAGGAGAGAUGGUAGAAAAGAGAGAGGCAGACAUUUUGGAGAGAAU
rnacentral:snRNA from 1 species